ACUCCUACGGGAGGCAGCAGUGGGGAAUAUUGCACAAUGGGCGCAAGCCUGAUGCAGCCAUGCCGCGUGUAUGAAGAAGGCCUUCGGGUUGUAAGUACUUUCAGCAGUGAGGAAGGUGGGUAGUGUUAAUAGCAUACUCAUUUGACGUUAGCUGCAGAAGAAGCACCGGCUAACUCCGUGCCAGCAGCCGCGGUAAUACGGAGGGUGCGAGCGUUAAUCGGAAUUACUGGGCGUAAAGCGCAUGCAGGUGGUUUGUUAAGUCAGAUGUGAAAGCCCGGGGCUCAACCUCGGAAUUGCAUUUGAAACUGGCAAACUAGAGUACUGUAGAGGGGGGUAGAAUUUCAGGUGUAGCGGUGAAAUGCGUAGAGAUCUGAAGGAUACCGGUGGCGAAGGCGGCCCCCUGGACAGAUACUGACACUCAGAUGCGAAAGCGUGGGGAGCAAACAGGAUUAGAUACCCUGGUAGGCUCU
rnacentral:rRNA from 1 species